CUACGGGUGGCAGCAGUGGGGAAUAUUGGACAAUGGGGGAAACCCUGAUCCAGCAAUGCCGCGUGUGUGAAGAAGGCCUGCGGGUUGUAAAGCACUUUCGGUUGGGAGGACUGCUUCUAGCACUAAUAUUGUUGGAAGUUGACGUUACCUUCAGAAGAAGCACCGGCUAACUCCGUGCCAGCAGCCGCGGUGAUACGGAGGGUGCAAGCGUUAAUCGGAAUUACUGGGCGUAAAGCGCGCGUAGGCGGCUAGAUCAGUCGGGUGUGAAAGCCCCGGGCUUAACCUGGGAACUGCAUCCGUACUGUCUAGCUUGAGUACAGGAGAGGAGAGUGGAAUUCCACAUGUAGCGGUGAAAUGCGUAGAUAUGUGGAGGAACACCAAUGGCGAAGGCAGCUCUCUGGCCUGAUACUGACGCUGAGGUGCGAAAGCGUGGGGAGCAAACAGGAUUAGAUACCCCUGUAGUC
rnacentral:rRNA from 1 species